CUUGAUGGAGCCCAGCAGCAGCGGCUGCCCCUCGGGCCGGUCCUGGCCGUACGUGGCGAGCAGCGCCUGCGCCUC
rfam:Streptomyces hygroscopicus ATCC 53653 genomic scaffold supercont1.1, whole genome shotgun sequence.